rnacentral:rRNA from 1 species
CCUACGGGAGGCAGCAGUGGGGAAUAUUGCACAAUGGAGGGAACUCUGAUGCAGCGACGCCGCGUGAGUGAAGAAGUAAUUCGUUAUGUAAAGCUCUAUCAGCAGGGAAGAAAGUGACGGUACCUGAAAAAGAAGCCCCGGCUAAAUACGUGCCAGCAGCCGCGGUAAUACGUAGGGGGCAAGCGUUAUCCGGAUUUACUGGGUGUAAAGGGAGAGUAGGCGGCAGAGCAAGUCCGGAGUGAAAACCCAGAGCUCAACCCACGGACUGCUUUAGAAACUGCACAGCUAGAGUGCAGGAGAGGGAAGUGGAAUUCCUAGUGUAGCGGUGAAAUGCGUAGAUAUUAGGAGGAACACCAGUGGCGAAGGCGGCUUGCUGGACUGUAACUGACGCUGAGGCUCGAAAGCGUGGGGAGCAAACAGGAUUAGAUACCCCAGUAGUC